GGCAAGUGAGUGAAAGUAUCAUAGAAAAUGGAAAAGGUUGCACAGUGCAAAUCUGUGUGGUGUUGAGAGUGGUGGAGCUGAUAGAGUGGAUUGGUCAAGUGCAGAGACAGAGCAGUGGAAAAAGAAAAAAAACUCCACAGUCAAUGUCUGACAGGAGAGAGGAGAGAGGAGACCGGUGUGCCUGCGGUGGUGUAAACAUGACAGGAGGGCUUUUACCGCCCGGAGACAGGAGUGUGGCUGAGGAGAACAGUGGUAUAUGCUGGACAGAGUUUCGUGGAAGUGGAGGGAGAGGAUUUUGAGCACCCAAAUUCAAAACCCAAACUGUGAACACCUCUGAGAGCGAGAGCUUUGAAUGACAGCAGCUCGCGGUUUCUCUGCUAGCUUGAGGAGAAGAUGAAGGGAGCUUUCAGCCUCUUAGAAGAUGAGGGUUAAAGAACGGAGAGAUUAAGGAAGUGAGAGAGCGACUGAAAAGAGGACUGGGG